UAACCUGCCCAAGAGAUCGGGAUAACACCUGGAAACAGAUGCUAAUACCGGAUAACAACAGAUGAUGCCUAUCAACUGUUUAAAAGAUGGUUCUGCUAUCACUCUUGGAUGGACCUGCGGUGCAUUAGCUAGUUGGUAGGGUAACGGCCUACCAAGGCGAUGAUGCAUAGCCGAGUUGAGAGACUGAUCGGCCACAUUGGGACUGAGACACGGCCCAACUCCUACGGGAGGCAGCAGUU
rnacentral:rRNA from 1 species